UGGUUCUAGCAUCGAUGAAGAACGCAGCGAAAUGCGAUAAGUAAUGUGAAUUGCAGAAUUUUGUGAAUCAUCGAAUUUUUGAACGCACAUUGCACCUUUUGGUAUUCCGAAAGGUAUGCCUAUUCGAGCGUCAUUUCACCUAUCAAACAUCAGUUUGGUUUUGAGUUAAAUCUAUAUAGAUUGACUUCAAAAGAAAUUAGUUUUGGUACAAUGAUCUGUAUUCUAAAACUAUUUUUCAAUACUUUUUUAAUGGUUGACCUCGAAUUAGGUAGGAUUACCCGCUGA
rnacentral:misc_RNA from 1 species